UAUGCACCGACAUGUAUCGUUAAUAUUGCACGUUGUUAUUGUUUAGCUCAAAUUCAUGAGUAGGUAUGUUUUAGACAUAUUAACUGAAUUGGGAGUAUGUUAUUAGCUGUUAUUAAUCAUACACGUCGGACUUGGAUGAAACAUAGGAGAAAACUAGCGUUCAGGAUCUGGCAUAUGUUAAACUACCUGAUUUAACCCUAGGGGCCGUUGUAUUUUUAUACUGUUGCAGUAUCCUCAUAGUGAGCAUCCCAGAUAGUUCAGAUUCAGUUACGCUCGUGCUGGGAUGCCGAGCCGAUUUUUACAGUAGUGUUUACAGUGUUCCGGAUUAGUGGGUGCCGUAGUGGUUGACGGCGGA
rnacentral:lncRNA from 1 species